GACGAACGCUGGCGGCGUGCCUAAUACAUGCCAGCCGAACGCAUUUUCUUUCACCGUAGCUUGCUACACCGAAAGAAAAUGAGUGGCGAACGGGUGAGUAACACGUGGGUAACCUGCCCAUCAGCGGGGGAUAACACUUGGAAACAGGUGCUAAUACCGCAUAAUUCCAUUUACCGCAUGGUAGAUGGGUGAAAGGCGCUUUUGCGUCACUGAUGGAUGGACCCGCGGUGCAUUAGCUAGUUGGUGGGGUAACGGCCUACCAAGGCUGCGAUGCAUAGCCGACCUGAGAGGGUGAUCGGCCACACUGGGACUGAGACACGGCCCAGACUCCUACGGGAGGCAGCAGUAGGGAAUCUUCGGCAAUGGACGCAAGUCUGACCGAGCAACGCCGCGUGAGUGAAGAAGGUUUUCGGAUCGUAAAACUCUGUUGUUAGAGAAGAACAAGGAUGAGAGUGGAAAGUUCAUCCCUUGACGGUAUCUAACCAGAAAGCCACGGCUAACUACGUG
rnacentral:rRNA from 1 species